rnacentral:rRNA from 1 species
AGGGAAUCUUCCACAAUGGGCGCAAGCCUGAUGGAGCAACACCGCGUGAGUGAAGAAGGGUUUCGGCUCGUAAAGCUCUGUUGUUGGAGAAGAACGUGCGUGAGAGUAACUGUUCACGCAGUGACGGUAUCCAACCAGAAAGUCACGGCUAACUACGUGCCAGCAGCCGCGGUAAUACGUAGGUGGCAAGCGUUAUCCGGAUUUAUUGGGCGUAAAGCGAGCGCAGGCGGUUGCUUAGGUCUGAUGUGAAAGCCUUCGGCUUAACCGAAGAAGGGCAUCGGAAACCGGGCGACUUGAGUGCAGAAGAGGACAGUGGAACUCCAUGUGUAGCGGUGGAAUGCGUAGAUAUAUGGAAGAACACCAGUGGCGAAGGCGGCUGUCUGGUCUGCAACUGACGCUGAGGCUCGAAAGCAUGGGUAGCGAACAGGAUUAGAUACCCUGGUAGUCCAUGCCGUAAACGAUGAGUGCUAGGUGUUGGAGGGUUUCCGCCCUUCAGUGCCGGAGCUAACGCAUUAAGCACUCCGCCUGGGGAGUACGACCGCAAGGUUG